CAGAGGGUGCAAGCGUUGCUCGGAUUUACUGGGCGUAAAGCGUACGCAGACGGUGAGAAAGGUCGGAUGUGAAAGCCCCGGGCUCAACCCGGGAACUGCAUCCGAAACCAUCUCGCUAGAGUAUGGGAGAGGGAAGCAGAAUUCCUGGUGUAGAGGUGAAAUUCGUAGAUAUCAGGAGGAAUACCUGCGGCGAAGGCGGCUUCCUGGCCCAUUACUGACGUUCAGGUACGAAAGCGUGGGUAGCAAACAGGAUUAGAUACCCUGGUAGUCCACGCCGUAAACGAUGUGUGCUGGAUGUCGGGGGGUAUUCACCCCCCCGGUAUCGAAGCUAACGCGAUAAGCACACCGCCUGGGGAGUACGGCCGCAAGGUUG
rnacentral:rRNA from 1 species